GACGUAGGAUGCGAGCGUUGUCCGGAUUUAUUGGGCGUAAAGAGUUCGUAGGCGGUUUGUUAAGUCCGGUGUUAAAGAUCGGGGCCCAACCCCGAGAGUGCAUUGGAUACUGGCAGACUGGAGUGUGGUAGAGGUAAGUGGAAUUCCUGGUGUAGCGGUGAAAUGCGUAGAUAUCAGGAAGAACACCAGUGGCGUAGGCGACUUACUGGGCCAUAACUGACGCUGAGGAACGAAAGCUAGGGGAGCAAAUGGG
rnacentral:rRNA from 1 species